UAUCUUUUGCUUCCAAUUGCUU
rnacentral:siRNA from 1 species